UGCUUAACACAUGCAAGUCGAGCGGUAAGGCCCUUCGGGGUACACGAGCGGCGAACGGGUGAGUAACACGUGGGUGAUCUGCCUCGUACUCUGGGAUAAGCCUGGGAAACUGGGUCUAAUACCGGAUAUGACCACGAAUCGCAUGGUUUGUGGUGGAAAGAUUUAUCGGUGCGAGAUGGGCCCGCGGCCUAUCAGCUUGUUGGUGGGGUAAUGGCCUACCAAGGCGACGACGGGUAGCCGACCUGAGAGGGUGACCGGCCACACUGGGACUGAGACACGGCCCAGACUCCUACGGGAGGCAGCAGUGGGGAAUAUUGCACAAUGGGCGAAAGCCUGAUGCAGCGACGCCGCGUGAGGGAUGACGGCCUUCGGGUUGUAAACCUCUUUCGACAGGGACGAAGCGCAAGUGACGGUACCUGUAGAAGAAGCACCGGCCAACUACGUGCCAGCAGCCGCGGUAAUACGUAGGGUGCGAGCGUUGUCCGGAAUUACUGGGCGUAAAGAGCUUGUAGGCGGUUCGUCGCGUCGAUUGUGAAAACUUGCAGCUCAACUGCAAGCUUGCAGUCGAUACGGGCGGACUAGAGUACUUCAGGGGAG
rnacentral:rRNA from 1 species